UGAGGUCGCUCCCAGAAAGAUCCACUGCCUCUGACUUGGUCGCAAGAACAACAGGAGCAGCAACCUGGCUCGUGCAAAUGUGCUGUCCUUAUGUCUCGUGAUACCAGCUGUUUCACAGCACCAAGUGAUCUGUAGGGCUUUCACUUAGCCUGUGCUAGGUUUGCCUUUACUGCCGCUACAACACAGUUCAUACACGUCAAAGGCCAGUGAGAUGCUCGACCAGGAAAGUGCUCGCCAUGCAAGCCUCACGACCUGAGUUCAAGCUCCAUGUUGCUGAACUUUCUUUGACUCUAGCCUCAUGCUGGAACACCAAAAUGUCAUUGCUUUUUAUUCGUUUACUCUUUGGGAGGCCUGCUAACCAGUUCCCAAAUAAAUCACACAUGGGGUCUUAUUCUUA